rnacentral:rRNA from 1 species
CCCUUUGAUACUCUGGGCGGCACGUGCGCUACAAUGGAUAACUUAACGUGUUACAUGUCCGAAAGGAUGUAUGCAAAUCACAAAUGUUAUGUCUCGAGUGGGAUAGUUUACUGCAAUUAUAGACUUGAACUAGGAAUCCCUUGUAGGUACACUGAAGCAUAGUGUACCGAAUACGUCCCUGCCGUUUGUACACACCGCCCGUCGUUUCUUCCGACUGAUACUCAUUGUGAAUUGCGGGGAUAACGUUGUUGAAAACCGUUGUAAAUGCUGGGGAUUGGAGGAAGAAAAAGUCGUAACA